UACAGAGGGUGCGAGCGUUAAUCGGAAUUACUGGGCGUAAAGCGCACGUAGGUGGCUUGGCAAGUCGGGUGUGAAAGCCCCGGGCUCAACCUGGGAAUUGCAUUCGAGACUGCGUAGCUAGGGUGCGGAAGAGGGAAGCGGAAUUUCCGGUGUAGCGGUGAAAUGCGUAGAUAUCGGAAGGAACACCAGUGGCGAAAGCGGCUUCCUGGUCCAGCACCGACGUUCAGGCACGAAAGCGUGGGGAGCAAACAGG
rnacentral:rRNA from 1 species